rnacentral:piRNA from 1 species
UCUUCAAGCCUCAGGUCGUUUUGUGACAU